AGAAAGUUUGUGCACUUGGAGAGUAAAAAGGACAGGGAUUAUUUUCUUGUUUGGGGACUGUACAGUUCCCAGGAAAACAGGGUUUUGGUCCAGGACUGGGACUCCUAAAUGUUAAGCAGGGGUCAAAGGCAUUCUACUGCAUUUGAGUGUUCCAGCUUCCUUGGGCUUCUCAUUUGAAAGAAGAUACAAAAAUAUGUCAAGAACUCUUCUGCUCUUGGAAACUUCUGUACUAACAACAUGAAGUAUUGGAAGUUUCAGAAAUCCAUUAAAAAACCCCAAAAAACAAACUAGGAGUUGUUCUUCAUGAUAAAGCAACAGA